AUUGAAUCUAGCAACACCCCAGUCAAUUUUUACCCACCUGAAAAAUGAGCCAUUACUGGAGAUCUGGCAGUGGACGGCCGAGAAGAAACUUAAGCUGGGACUCCAUGAAAGAGCGAAAGUAGGGAAGAAACAAACAGAAAGGUAUACACCUGAAGUGAGAAACGGUGGUUAGGGGCACAAAUGUAAUUCCGAACCAUUACAAGGCGGAUGGCGUGUGAAGCGGCUGAAGAACUGCUGAACACGUGAGUGGGCAAGGAUCUGCGUUUUCGACAUCUGGCAAUGACAACAUCUGAAUUGUCAAGUUUGGGUUUUUGUUGGAAUCGUGACUCCGUUACAAGGGCGUUAGUACGUUACGUUUCGAUCUUUGUUUUGUAGUGAUGGGUCUUGCAUGGCAUCCAACCCACUCCGGUGCCGUCAAUGACGUCCCCCCCAGGAUUAUGGUGGGGUUAUAAUAGUCCAUUUCUAUCCUUCGCUGGCACAGAAGAAAAGGUCACCGGGGCUUUCGGUUGUGCUAUAUGAAAAGGGAUGAUAGAUUGAUAGUUGGCGGGAUUCUUCCAUGGGUCGUCCAUUCAAAAAUUUGUUAAAUAACUGUCAUUCUAAAUAUAGUACAGGAG